rnacentral:tmRNA from 1 species
GGGGAUGUAAUGGCUUCGACGGGGACGGUGAAGUGUGAUAAGCGGGUAGAGGAAGCGCUAUCUCUUUAAACAGCGCACGUUUUAAAAUUAAACGACAACGAUAAUUUAGAAUUAGCUGCUGCAUAAGUCAGCGCUCGUCGUGCCAUUGAGUACCACGGCUUUGGUUUCGGCGUCGAUCAGUGGUGAACGUUUCGGGGGUAUGCCUGUAGCCCUGAAAUGUAUAUCAGGCUACCAAAGAGUACCGCGUGUCUGCUUGCGGUAUCCGAGGGAAACGGCGUAAGCUAAAAUAACAGACUACACCCGUAGAAAUUCGCAGGGAUCUGCCUUCGGACACGAGUUCGAUUCUCGUCAUCUCCACCA